UUCUUCGGGAGCAGAGACCGGCGCACGGGUGCGUAACGCGUAUGCAAUCUACCUUUCACAGAGGGAUAGCCCAGAGAAAUUUGGAUUAAUACCUCAUAGUAUAGCAGUUUCGCAUGAAACCACUAUUAAAGUCACAACGGUGAAAGAUGAGCAUGCGUCCCAUUAGCUAGUUGGUAAGGUAACGGCUUACCAAGGCAACGAUGGGUAGGGGUCCUGAGAGGGAGAUCCCCCACACUGGUACUGAGACACGGACCAGACUCCUACGGGAGGCAGCAGUGAGGAAUAUUGGACAAUGGGCGCAAGCCUGAUCCAGCCAUGCCGCGUGCAGGAUGACGGUCCUAUGGAUUGUAAACUGCUUUUAUACGAGAAGAAACCCUCCGACGUGUCGGAGCUUGACGGUAUCGUAAGAAUAAGGAUCGGCUAACUCCGUGCCAGCAGCCGCGGUAAUACGGAGGAUCCAAGCGUUAUCCGGAAUCAUUGGGUUUAAAGGGUCCGUAGGCGGUCAGGUAAGUCAGUGGUGAAAGCCCAUCGCUCAACGGUGGAACGGCCAUUGAUACUGUCUGACUUGAAUUAUUAGGAAGUAACUAGAAUAUGUAGUGUAGCGGUGAAAUGCUUAGAGAUUACAUGGAAUACCAAUUGCGAAGGCAGGUUACUACUAAUGGAUUGACGCUGAUGGACG
rnacentral:rRNA from 1 species